AGUGAACGCUGGCGGUAGGCCUAACACAUGCAAGUCGAACGGCAGCACAGUAAGAGCUUGCUCUUACGGGUGGCGAGUGGCGGACGGGUGAGGAAUACAUCGGAAUCUACUUUUUCGUGGGGGACAACGUAGGGAAACUUACGCUAAUACCGCAUACGACCUACGGGUGAAAGCAGGGGAUCUUCGGACCUUGCGCGAUUGAAUGAGCCGAUGUCGGAUUAGCUAGUUGGCGGGGUAAAGGCCCACCAAGGCGACGAUCCGUAGCUGGUCUGAGAGGAUGAUCAGCCACACUGGAACUGAGACACGGUCCAGACUCCUACGGGAGGCAGCAGUGGGGAAUAUUGGACAAUGGGCGCAAGCCUGAUCCAGCCAUACCGCGUGAGUGAAGAAGGCCUUCGGGUUGUAAAGCCCUUUUGUUGGGAAAGAAAAGCAGCAGGUUAAUACCCCGCUGUUCUGACGGUACCCAAAGAAUAAGCACCGGCUAACUUCGUG
rnacentral:rRNA from 1 species